AAUUUAAGAAUUUAUGACCAGAACGAAUGUGAAUACAAAGUCAUGGCUUUACUUCCGAAGAGAUAGGUUUACGGAGCUUCACUAUUCUCUUCCGAGUGUGAUUAUUUGACACAGAAUGUGGAGAACAUAUUGUUUUAUGAAACAAACCAAAAAUGUUAACUUCCAUAGUUCAGUUUUUGUUUUAUAAAAAUAAAUUAAAACUUUACACAAGGUUUUAUGCCAGUUAUAUCUUCGAUGUUAAUUAUAAAA